rnacentral:lncRNA from 11 species
AAGGACUGUACCAUCAAGGUGGCAGCAUUCAAUUAGCAAGUAAAUGCUCAGGUUUGUCCUGAGAAAGAUUACAAAGGAGUUGAAAGGGAAGGAGAAAGUGGAAGAAAGAAGACAGAGCUGACUGCGAAUGUGGACACAUAAUAAAUAAGUUAUUCUGCACAAAAUAUAUGAAAAUAUUUUUUUUAAUGAUUGAAAACAUAUGUUGAAAAGAGUCCUGGA